rnacentral:rRNA from 1 species
GGAAUCUUGUGCAAUGGACGAAAGUCUGACACAGCCACGCCGCGUGCGGGAAGAAGGCCUUCGGGUUGUAAACCGCUUUCAGCAGGAACGAAAAUGACGGUACCUGCAGAAGAAGGAGCGGCCAACUACGUGCCAGCAGCCGCGGUGACACGUAGGCUCCAAGCGUUGUCCGGAUUUAUUGGGCGUAAAGAGCUCGUAGGCGGUUCAGCAAGUCGGGUGUGAAAACUCUGGGCUCAACCCAGAGCCUGCACCCGAAACUGCUGUGACUAGAGUUCGGUAGGGGAGUGGGGAAUUCCUAGUGUAGCGGUGAAAUGCGCAGAUAUUAGGAGGAACACCGAUGGCGAAGGCACCACUCUGGGCCGAAACUGACGCUGAGGAGCGAAAGCGUGGGUAGCAAACAGGAUUAGAUACCCUGGUAGUCCACGCCGUAAACGAUGGGCACUAGGUGUGGGUCUCUAACUAACGGGAUCCGCGCCGUCGCUAACGCAUUAAGUGCCCCGCCUGGGGAGUACGGUCGCAAGACUAAAACUCAAAGGAAUUGACGG